AUUGAACGCUGGCGGCAUGCUUUACACAUGCAAGUCGAACGGUAACAGGCCGCAAGGUGCUGACGAGUGGCGAACGGGUGAGUAAUGCAUCGGAACGUGCCCAGUCGUGGGGGAUAACGCAGCGAAAGCUGUGCUAAUACCGCAUACGAUCUGUGGAUGAAAGCGGGGGACCGUAAGGCCUCGCGCGAUUGGAGCGGCCGAUGUCAGAUCAGGUAGUUGGUGGGGUAAAGGCUCACCAAGCCGACGAUCUGUAGCUGGUCUGAGAGGACGACCAGCCACACUGGGACUGAGGCACGGCCCAGACUCUUACGGGAGGCAGCAGUGGGGAAUUUUGGACAAUGGGCGCAAGCCUGAUCCAGCAAUGCCGCGUGCAGGAAGAAGGCCUUCGGGUUGUAAACUGCUUUUGUACGGAGCGAAAAGGCUCUCUCUAAUACAGGGGGCUCAUGACGGUACCGUAAGAAUAAGCACCGGCUAACUACGUGCCAGCAGCCGCAGUAACAC
rnacentral:rRNA from 1 species